rnacentral:rRNA from 1 species
GAUGAACGCUGGCGGCGUGCUUAACACAUGCAAGUCGAACGGUGAAGCAGGAGCUUGCUCUUGUGGAUCAGUGGCGAACGGGUGAGUAACACGUGAGCAACCUGCCCCUGACUCUGGGAUAAGCGCUGGAAACGGCGUCUAAUACUGGAUAUGUGAUGUGACCGCAUGGUCUGCAUCUGGAAAGAAUUUCGGUUGGGGAUGGGCUCGCGGCCUAUCAGCUUGUUGGUGAGGUAAUGGCUCACCAAGGCGUAUGCGGGUAGCCGGCCUGAGAGGGUGACCGGCCACACUGGGACUGAGACACGGCCCAGACUCCUACGGUCGGCAGCAGUGGGGAAGAUUGCACAAUGGGCGGGAGACUGAUGCAGCAACGCCGCGUGAGGGAUGACGGCCUUCGGGUUGUAAACCUCUUUUAGCAGGGAAGAAGCGAAAGUGACGGUACCUGCAGAAAAAGCACCGGCUAACUACGUGCCAGCCGCCGCGGUAA